CAGUUCGGUCCCUAUCCGCCGUGGGCGUAGGAAAUUUGAGAGGAGCUGUCCUUAGUACGAGAGGACCGGGAUGGACCAACCUCUGGUGCACCAGUUGUUCCGCCAGGAGCACAGCUGGGUAGCUAUGUUGGGAAGGGAUAAACGCUGAAAGCAUCUAAGCGUGAAGCCCACCUCAAGAUUAGAUUUCCCAUAGCGUAAGCUAGUAAGACCCCUGAAAGACUAUCAGGUUGAUAGGUUGGAGGUGUAAGUACAGUAAUGUAUUCAGCUGACCAAUACUAAUAGGUCGAGGGCUUGAUCAAAUA
rnacentral:rRNA from 1 species